GUGACCAGGACUCUAGACCCCUGGAUUCUGAUCCCAAAUCUACUACUGACAAUAGGGGACUUCAGGCAAGACACAACCCUUCUGGAAGCCUCAGUCACUUACUGGAGAUGUUCAAUGUUUCCCAGAGUGUGCUCUACCAUCUGUGCUUCUCAAACCCUAAUGCCCAUCACAGUCUCCUGGAAGUCUCGUUGAAAUGCAGAUUCUGAUUCAGUAUAUAUGGGGAGAGUCUGGAUUCUGCAUUUAUAAAGGUUGCCAGGCGAUGCCUCUGCGAACCUCCAUCUGAGCCGCAAGAGUCUUAAAGUCAAAUACCCUCAGAAAUCCCUGUGUUUAAUACAUUUAAGAGGGCAUGUCUACUGCAGGACUCCCCAGUAACUUGAGAAACUCAGGAUAGCUUUGCAGAAAGAUAAAAGUCUUUAUUUUAUAAACCAAUGCAAGAAAGAUAAGUGGGCUGCUUGUUUUCCCACGCCAGUACCCAAUCCCUCUCCCAGAUGAAUAGAAGAUGUGGCUUGCCAUACUUAAGCCUCACUGCAAAGGAACUGCUUCCCACACAGCUCCUUCCACAUCCCCACUGCACCCCCGGGUCAUAUUUUGGAUGAUGUAACUUGACCCAUAGACUGGUGAUCCACCUAGAACCUAGAACAAGGUGUCAAAGAUGAACUGGGCCAAUGAGAUUAUUAUUCUUGCAAAUAACUUGACUCAGUAGAGGUAGGCAAAUUUGAAAAGACCCCAGGGUGGAAUCUGGCCCAUGAUGAGACAAAGCCACAUGAGAGCUCAGGUUACAAGGAAGGCAAACUCUGCGCAUGUAACAGAAGCCUGGACCGG
rnacentral:lncRNA from 1 species